GGCGACCGGCGCACGGCGAGUAACGCGUAUGCAACUUACCUAUCAGAGGGGGAUAGCCCGGCGAAAGUCGGAUUAAUACCCCAUAAAACAGGGGUCCCGCAUGGGAAUAUUUGUUAAAGAUUCAUCGCUGAUAGAUAGGCAUGCGUUCCAUUAGGCAGUUGGCGGGGUAACGGCCCACCAAACCGACGAUGGAUAGGGGUUCUGAGAGGAAGGUCCCCCACAUUGGUACUGAGACACGGCCAA
rnacentral:rRNA from 1 species